AUUGAACGCUGGCGGCAGGCCUAACACAUGCAAGUCGAACGAGUGGCGGACGGGUGAGUAAUGUCUGGGAAACUGCCUGAUGGAGUGGGAUAACUACUGGAAACGGUAGCUAAUACCGCAUAACAUCAGAUGUGCCCAGAUUGGAUUAGCUAGUUGGUGGGGUAACGGUUCACAAAGGCGACGAUCCCUAGCUGGUCUGAGAGGAUGACCAGCCACACUGGAACGUAGACACGUGCCAGACGCCUACGUGAGGCAGCAGUGGGGAAUAUUGCACCAUGGGCGCAAGCCUGAUGCAGCCAUGCCGCGUGUAUGAAGGAGGCCUUCGGGUUGUAAAGUACUUUCAGCGGGGAGGCGUUACCCGCAGAAGAAGCACCGGCUAACUCCGUGCCAGCAGCCGCGGUAAUAC
rnacentral:rRNA from 1 species